AGUAAAGAAAUUAUUUUGCAAAUCAUUAUCCUUGAUCACUUAACAAAAUUAAACAAUUUUUUAAAGAACCAUAUUUAACCAGAGUUACGCCAGAUCUAAAAAAAAAGAUCUACAAAGUAAGUUCCAAACCCCUUAACAUUCUAUACUGAAACCAUUGUACUCCCGCAAAAACUCCCGAAAAAACCCACAGAAGCAGUUUGACACCCACCACCGCCGCUACACACUUGCACCACCGCUCCAUUGCGCCGUCCACCUUCCGUCUACUUCCGACCUCCGCUGAGCCCUGGCUUCUCAAUUUUGAGGUUAGUGUGGUUAAUUUUGUUUUUUUCAUAAUAUUAAUUCAACUAAUAACCUAGGAUUAUGAAUUAAAGAAUUAUAGCUUGUUAAUUGCAAAAUUAAAAGAGUAAGGAAUUCUUUUGGUCGAAUUAUAGUCGAAUUGCUUGAUUAAUUGCUGUAGAAUUGCUGACGAUUUCUGGACGAAUUGCUUAAUGAAUCGGUGUAGAAUUGCUUGAUGAAUUGCUGUAAAAUUGCUGUCGAAUUGCUUGAUGAAUUGCUGUAGAAUUGAUGUAAGCCUGUGUUGUAAUUGCUUGAUGAAUUGCUGUAGAAUUGCUUGAUGAAUUGCUUGAUGAAUUGCUGUCGAAUUGCUUGAUGAAUUGCUGUCGAAUUGUCGAAUUGCUUUAAAAAUUUGAGUUCACCUCAUGACCUCCUUUGUAAUAUCCGAUAAUAUGAUAUAACAUUAAAAUAAAGAUAAAUAUAGCAUGCACUGAAAGGAUAUACAAACUACACAAAGAGAUAUAGAGUGAAUUUAAGAACUGUUAUAAUUAGAAAAAUAGAUAUUCACUGAUAAAAGAGACUCACAUCCUGUGGUUGUUGAUUACAGGCAACUGAAAAAUAUAAUCGUACUGGAUACAAGUAACACGUUAGAGCAGCAAAUGGUUCAAUAGAAUCAGUAAAUUAUUGUUUCACUUAUUCAAUUUCUCGAUUUGUCUAUUUGGUUUUCUCCAUUUAUGUUCUUCUGUUUCUGUUUUAGGUCACGUUUGAAAUGUUAGACCUAUAUGUUAAAGUUGUACAAAGCUUUGGUUAUGUGGCUGGAUUGCCAAAUGUUACCUCCCCACUAGCUCACUUGCUGAUCAUUUUAAGUUAGUGCAAAAUUGGUCUCGUAAUUUGAUUUCAACAGUUCAGUCUCGUCUAUUAAUAAGCAUUGAACUGUUAGAGAAUAUGUCUUUGGUUUUCAGAUUUUAUUGGGAAGUUGUUGAUUUUUUUUUGUCGUUGUCAAAAAUCUUAUUUUGAAUUGAUCCACGACGGUCCUAUUAUCUUGCCUUAUAUCGCUUUUGGAUUUUAUACUGAACAGAAUCAGAAAAGAACCCUAGCUAAGUAAUCUAGUCCAACUCUCCAAUGAAGGUGCAACUUUUAAGACUGGCGAACUAAUUUACAUCUUCAUUUUUUAACUGCUUGAUCAAUUUUUCAUGCACAAGUAAAUCAUGAUAGUCAAGACUAAGGAGACCUUGGAGGUGAUUCUAGCCCUCAUGAGGGCUGAAAGUUCUGCUGACUGUUUCUACUGCUAUGAGUGUCAUCUUGCUCAUCUUCCUCAUGAUCUAUUAUCUUUAUGACAGAGUCAUCUUGCUCAUCCCCUGCACCCUCUACCAUAUUUUAUUUUUCUACAGGCUCAACCUUGGCUGAUCAUCGACUGGUUCUAGUUCGACAGUGAUGAUCGAUUAUUUCACUCUGAUGUUCUACUGCAGGUUCCUGUAUUCAGAUGCUAAAGUUCCUUGGAAAGAACUGUCAAGUAGACAAGUACUUUCAAGAAACCUAUCCAGACAACACAGAAAAUGGAGAAAAAGAAGAGCUUUUGGUUUCGCUCAAAGGUGUAUGGAAAGAAAACAAGAGCAGCUUGACGUUACUAAUCUCCACUAGUGCCUUUAGGUCAAUAAAUCUCACAAAUUCACUACACAUUAAAUGCCGUUUUUCUUUCAUUCUUUCUCUACUUGUACUACUGUCUAGUAUAAUGUUUUAAUGACUAUUUGUCUUGUAGCAGUAACGGCUCUUGUGCACUCCUUGCCACCUACUGCUCUUGUUGUUGCUUUGUUAUUUGUUGGUGCUCUACCCCUGCUGUCAGCCUUUGGGCCUCUCUUGGGUCGCCUACGAUACACAAUGGGGUCAUAACACUAUUGUUGUCGUUAUCCCGAUUGUCUGGUCACUAUCACUUAUCAUAGUCAUAAUAGCUACAUUAUUCAUUUUACAGAGGAAGAAGUAGAAAAACCAUAACAGUAAGACAUAAUGCAAAAUUUUGUUUUGCAGUGAGUUAAAAGAUUUUUGUUUCUUGACUACUUGUUAUAUAGUUUGACCUUUGUUAUCUCUGUCAACCCAAAGGAAGAAAUUGAAACACUCCAGUCUUUACAAUAUAGUCUUGGAACCGUCAAGGUUGAAACAAACGGUUUUUCUGAUGACAAUUAUCUCGGAGAAGGUAGAUUCGGCACAAUUUAUAAGUUACCACUAUUAAGAUGUUUACUGCUUCGAGGAAGAUUCAAAAAUAAAGGGGUGUUAAUCCAACUGACCUUGAGGAGAAUCUUGCUCAGUCAAGUUGACAUUUCGAACAACAAGAAGGCUAUUGUUGUCCACGUUCAAUACAGAUUGAGAAAAUCUAUAGCAAGGAAUUGCGGUGAAGAGGCUAGCAAGGAAUUUAGUUCAGGGAGAUGUACUUACAGUUCAAAAAUGAAAUUCUGAUAUUAGCUAAGAUUCAGCACAGAAAAAUGGUGGAAAAAAAAAGGAUUCUGCUUUGAAGAAGAAGAAAUGCUUCUAAAUUAUGAGUUUGUGAUCAAUAAUGCCUUUACAAUUUUUUGUUUUGUACGUAGCAUUCCUGUAAAUACCAAAGGAAGAGAAAAAAGAAAGAAAUAAGGUAUUAUGUAAAUAUUUAAUUUUUGUCCCUUUCCAUAUUAUAAACGCACAUGAGUAUCUUGUAAAAAGUACGUUACUUUUUAAUAUAUAUGAUUUUUAAUAUUAUGUAA